rnacentral:rRNA from 1 species
ACUCCUACGGGAGGCAGCAGUGGGGAAUAUUGCACAAUGGGCGCAAGCCUGAUGCAGCCAUGCCGCGUGUAUGAAGAAGGCCUUCGGGUUGUAAAGCACUUUCAGUAGGGAGGAAGGUAGUGUAGUUAACACCUGCAUUAUUUGACGUUACCUACAGAAGAAGCACCGGCUAACUCCGUGCCAGCAGCCGCGGUAAUACGGAGGGGGUUAGCGUUGUUCGGAAUUACUGGGCGUAAAGCGCGCGUAGGCGGACUGGAAAGUUGGGGUGAAAUCCCAGGGCUCAACCCUGGAACUGCCUCCAAAACUAUCAGUCUAGAGUUCGAGAGAGGUGAGUGGAAUUCCGAGUGUAGAGGUGAAAUUCGUAGAUAUUCGGAGGAACACCAGUGGCGAAGGCGGCUCACUGGCUCGAUACUGACGCUGAGGUGCGAAAAGUGUGGGGAGCAAACAGGAUUAGAUACCCUGGUAGCUACGAGU